GGGCGUUUAGCGCAGUGGUAGCGCGUAUGCUUUGCACCAGCAAACCUUACGUAAUCACCUUACGUAAGCAAGCACCCUUGUAUAAGGUCCAGGGUUCAAUCCCCUGAACGUCCA